rnacentral:rRNA from 1 species
GAUGAACGCUGGCGGCGUGCCUAAUACAUGCAAGUCGAGCGAACGGACGAGAAGCUUGCUUCUCUGAUGUUAGCGGCGGACGGGUGAGUAACACGUGGAUAACCUACCUAUAAGACUGGGAUAACUUCGGGAAACCGGAGCUAAUACCGGAUGAUAUUUUGAACCGCAUGGUGCAAAAGUGAAAGACGGUCUUGCUGUCACUUAUAGAUGGAUCCGCGCUGCAUUAGCUAGUUGGUAAGGUAACGGCUUACCAAGGCAACGAUGCAUAGCCGACCUGAGAGGGUGAUCGGCCACACUGGAACUGAGACACGGUCCAGACUCCUACGGGAGGCAGCAGUAGGGAAUCUUCCGCAAUGGGCGCAAGCCUGACGGAGCAACGCCGCGUGAGUGAUGAAGGUCUUCGGAUCGUAAAACUCUGUUAUUAGGGAAGAACAUAUGUGUAAGUAACUGUGCACAUCUUGACGGUACCUAAUCAGAAAGCCACGGCUAACUACGUG